CAGGGAGUGAACGCUAUGGACCGGCGACGGGAACAGAAAGAGGACGUACACCAACCUCUUUGCACCUAUCGUCAUUGACGAUGAUGAAGAUGAAGUUCUCGUUCUUGAGGAAAAAAAGGACAUGCCCUCAGAAAAAUCAGAAUGAGUCAUAUAGACACAAGUAGAAAAUGAACAAGCUCUCUACUCCGUCUAAAAUAGAAUUAUACAAAUGUGAGGACUCACUAAAAUGAAAACCAAUCUGACAUUCUCUGCCUGUAACUACUUGAAUCAGGUCCAGUUGUUGAGAUGUGUGUUUAAAGAGAGUCCAUUGGAAUUAAGUUAAUAAGAAUAAAAAACUUGCUCAUUCUUUUAUAGAUUGA